rnacentral:rRNA from 1 species
UACGAAGGGGGCUAGCGUUGCUCGGAAUCACUGGGCGUAAAGGGUGCGUAGGCGGGUUUUUAAGUCAGGGGUGAAAUCCUGGAGCUCAACUCCAGAACUGCCUUUGAUACUGAAGAUCUUGAGUUCGGGAGAGGUGAGUGGAACUGCGAGUGUAGAGGUGAAAUUCGUAGAUAUUGGGAAGAACACCGAUGGCGAAGGCAGCCAUCUGGACCGACACUGACGCUGAGGCGCGAAAGCGUGGGGAGCAAACAGG